rnacentral:rRNA from 1 species
GACGAACGCUGGCGGCGUGCUUAACACAUGCAAGUCGAACGGAAAGGCCCUGCUUUUGUGGGGUGCUCGAGUGGCGAACGGGUGAGUAACACGUGAGUAACCUGCCCUUGACUUUGGGAUAACUUCAGGAAACUGGGGCUAAUACCGGAUAGGAGCUCCUGCUGCAUGGUGGGGGUUGGAAAGUUUCGGCGGUUGGGGAUGGACCCGCGGCUUAUCAGCUUGUUGGUGGGGUAGUGGCUUACCAAGGCUUUGACGGGUAGCCGGCCUGAGAGGGUGACCGGCGACGUUGGGACUGGAAUACGGCCCAGACUGCUACAGGAGCCAGCGGCGGAAGAUAUUGCGCCAUGGACGGAAGCCUGGAGCAGCAGCGCCGCGUGCGGGAUGACGGCCUUCGGGGUGUGAACCGACUGCGCCUGUGACGAAGCGUGAGUGACGGUAAUGGGUAGAGAAGCACCGGCUAACUACGUG